rnacentral:rRNA from 1 species
CGCUAUAAGAGGAGCCCGCGUCCUAUCAGGUAGUUGGUGGGGUAAUAGCCUACCAAGCCAAUGACGGGUAGCCGGUGUGAGAGCACGACCGGCCACAAGGUCACUGAAACACGGGGCCUACACCUACGGGUGGCAGCAACCGGGAAUAUUGCGCAAUGGGCGAAAGCCUGACGCAGCGACACCGCGUGUGGGAAGAAGCUUUUCGGAGUGUAAACCACUGUGGCAAGGGAAGAAUUUUUGACGGUACCUUGCUAGAAAGCACCUGCUAACUACGUGCCAGAAGCCUCGGUAAUACGUAGGGUGCAAGCGUUAUCCGGAUUUAUUGGGCGUAAAGAGUUCCGCAGGCGUCUUUACAAGUUUCUUGUUUAAGCCUGAGGCUCAACUUCAGAAAAGCAAGAAAAACUGUAAAGAUUGAGUUUGUUUGGGGAAGCUGGAAUUCUCGGUGGAGGGGUGAAAUCCGUAGAUAUCGAGAGGAACACCAAUCGCGAAGGCAAGCUUCUAAAACAAUACUGACGCUAAGGGACGAAAGCUUGGGUAGCAAAAGGGAUUAGAGACCCCUGUAGUCCAAGCCGUAAACUUUCCUCGCUAGUUGCCUGGUUAAUAAUGCAU